GAGGGCGGACUGGCGCGCGCGGGCUGGGCGGGCUUGGCGCGCACUCUCCGGGUGGGAUGACCGGAAUGCUUGUGUGUCCGGGUUGCAAAAGAGCCCCUCAAUCCUGAACCUAGAGUGACUGCAGUCCGGAAAUUUAGCCUCGAUUUAUUAUUAGACGUCGGGUAAGAGGGAUUCACAGCUGCCCUGACUCCAUACUUGGGAAUCUUAUGUAAGAAGAGUUAGCAGGACAUGCCGGAUGCACGUGGACAUGGGGUGCUCCCUCCACGGCCCAGGUCGUGGUCAGCUGCAGGGGGAUGGGAACACUGAGGCAUUUGCUUCCCUCCUGGCGGGGUCUUUCCUACUACUGCUGCCAGGGUUAAUGAAACAUGCGAAGGUGUGGUGAUUUGAAUAAGAAUGGUCCCCAUAAGAUCAAGUCUGUGGAUGCUUAGUUCUCAGACUGGGACUACAAAGAAGAAUUAGAAGGUGUGGCCUUAUUGGAAGAAAUCUGUGGGCCUUGGGGUUUCGGAAGCCCAAACCAGGCCCAGUGGCUCUGUCUCUUCCUGCUGCCUUUGAAGCCACAUGGUAGAACUCUCAGCUACUUCUCAAACAUCAUGUCAGUCUACAUACUGCCAUAUCUCAACACCACCGCCAUGAUGACAAACUUCUGAAACUGUAAACAAGUCCCAAGGAAAUACUUUCUUUUAUAUAAGAGUUGUCAUGGUCAUGGUGUCCCUUCACUGCAUUAGAACCCCAAGUCAGUGAGAUAUAUUUCCCAUAGAAUACAAAGAUAAUGGUAGAUAGUAAAUGUAAGGGUGUUGCUGGCUGAGAUUUUGUGUUGUGCUAAUAUAUACUAUGAUAUACUGUAUAUGGGAACUGUAACUGAAAAGAAAUACUUAUACUUUUGUAGCUUAUUUGUGUUUUGUACAGUAAGACAUUUCUUGGGAAUUGUAUUCAAAUUGUAUUUUUUUCUAAUUUGAAAUUGGGGGUGGGGGGAGCUUCCCAAUGAUAUUGCUAAACUACCUUUCUUUAGCCAGGCUUUGCCUUCUACAGGUUCACCCUCCCAAAACACUGCUACCAGCUGGGGCCACGUGUUCAAAUUAGAUCAGUCAGUGGAAGACAGGCCCCAUUCAAACUAUACUCAUUCUUUCCUUUUCUUCCCCUCUUUCAUUCCUUCCUUCCUUUCUCACUUUCUAUCUUUCCUACUCUCAUUAAGUCUCUUACUUCCAUGCAAACUCAUAUUCUUUAUUAUUGUUGUUAUUGUUAUAUUUUUAUUAUUUAAAACAAUUUUUCAGUUUAAAUAUAUUUUGAUCAUAUUCUUCCCCACCCCCAAGUCUUCUCCCCUUCCCAACCAACUUUAAGUGCCUUCUUGAAAAACAAAUUAAAAGUCAGUACAACAACAGAAUCUCUCCAAACCAAAAAAACCAAAAUAUGAUUUCUCUUCUCCCGAAAAAACACCAAACUGUAACCAAAUAAAAACGUACAAAAAAACUGUGGGAUCC
ensembl:lincRNA Gm10489 predicted gene 10489